GGAGUCUGGUCCGUGUCUCAGUACCAGUGUGGGGGACCUUCCUCUCAGAACCCCUAACGAUCGUUGGCCAGGUGGGCCGUUACCCCGCCUGCUGCCUAAUCGUACGCAUCCCCAUCCAUCGGCGACCGAAGUCUUUCGUGAAAAUCAGAGGCCUUCUUCUCACAACAUCAGGUAUUAGGCUCCCUUUCGGAAGGUUAUUCCUGACCCAUGGGCAGGUUGGAUACGCGUUACUCACCCGUGCGCCGGUCGCCGCCAGGAAAAGCAAGCUUCUCCCGCGCUGCCCCUCGACUUGCAUGUGUUAGGCCUGUCGCUAGCGUUCAUC
rnacentral:rRNA from 1 species